rnacentral:rRNA from 1 species
UACGUAGGGGGCAAGCGUUGUCCGGAUUUAUUGGGCGUAAAGAGCGUGUAGGCGGCCAGACAGGUCAGCUGUGAAAACUCGAGGCUCAACCUCGAGACGUCGGUUGAAACCGUCUGGCUGGAGUCCGGAAGAGGAGAGUGGAAUUCCCGGUGUAGCGGUGAAAUGCGCAGAUAUCGGGAAGAACACCCGUGGCGAAGGCGGCUCUCUGGGACGGUACUGACGCUGAGACGCGAAAGCGUGGGGAGCGAACAGG